CUUGGGGUGGGUUUUGCCAAGGUUGUGCGCGGCGCGUGCACGCGGCCGGGGAGCAGCCCGCAGCGGGAGGAAGGAUGCCUGCACCGAGGAAAGCGGAUUGAGGUGGAAGCAAGUGAGCAGCUGGUCAGUGGGAUGUCACAGCGCAUUGGAAGGACUGCUGCCACUCGGGAGGUCACGUCAGGAGUUCAGGGAGCUCACCAAGGACAUCCUGCAGGACUCUGGUGCCUAUUUGCUGCAUGACAUAUCAAAUCCAAUACUUUGUUUCUGCUGGGACAUCCAGAACUGCUUCCCACCUAACAUCAUUGUCUUUGGACCUGACUACUUAUAUGCUUCAGAAAAUGAAACAUCUGCAUGCAUCCUUGUGCUGGGACUGUGGAGUCUCUGUUUUAUGAGCGUACCUGAAAAGUGGGUGCUGCAUGGACAAAUCCUGUGGGUCUUUAGAGGUUGGAAUUAAUGAAGCAGUAUGAGCAAUAUGAACCGUGACUCAGGGAAAGGGCAGGUUGGUGAGGAGAGGUGCAGAGGUAAUGCCAGCAGUGAGCAAUCAGUAGUCUUUCCUCUGCACCUCUGUCCUGUUUUAACUAUCCAGGGACUGCCGUUCUCUCUCUAUCUGUGACAAGCAGAUGCUGCUCACUUUUUCUAUGGGAAUGGUGAACUUGCUCUCCAAGUUGCAUCUUUCUUGCACUAAAAACAAGCAACUACCCAAGUAAACAAAUGAAAAAAAAUCCAUAUAGAAGGAUGUAUGUAGAAGUUAUGUGCAGACUUUGAACCGCAAAAGCUGUAUGUGGCUUCAGCUUUGCUUUUGGAUAUUUUGCACAAGUAAUAUAUGGGCAGCUUUCAUAUGUUCCUUGCCUAGCUGCCAUAGGAUUAUGCAGUGGACCUUCCUGAGGUUAUAGGAUUCAGAAAUCAGGUGACUGAUAACUCUUCCUCCUGUCCUAGAGCUGUUUUUCGGUCACUGCUUCCUACACUGAAGGGGACAAAUCAUUUCCCAAUGCAUUUUUUAAAACAUUUUCUGCAAAAUGGAAGAUUUGUUGUUGUUGUUCAUAUCCUGGAUCUUAUGACAACCUGAGAUAAAUAGAACGGGUAGGCGCUAUGAUGCUCCUGCCAAGGUCAUGGGCAAUUGCUGCUGGGUGCUGAAUAACUGUCAGGUGAGCCCCAUUGACCCCACUUAAUUUCUCAGAUGCUGAGGGAGGAGAUGACAAAUUGGACCUGCUGGUCAAAGAUCACAAAUGAGAAGUGAUAACAAUUAACUUUCUUAGCAACUAUUGGUAGAAUAUGCUGAGUUAUAAAAAAUGUUAAAUGGUCCCAUGCUUAAAAAUAAAAAACACCCUUCAGAUAUUGCA
rnacentral:lncRNA from 1 species